GAGGAGGGCCAGGACAUCCUGGAUUUCUUCAGGCCGGGCCGGUGGCCGGUCUCCACGGCGUAGGAGGUGCGGUCCAUGGCACGGCAGUACAGUAAUUGUUAGCAGCUCGAGAUGCAGAAAAAGCAGCAGCAGUAGUGGUAGCAGCCUCCUCAGUCCAGAGCGCCUGAACCCUGAGACCGGAGCUGCUGAAAAGUUGGACAGCUCCUGACUGCAGUAUCUCAAUUCACCCUUACAAUCUGAAGUAAACAAGACUGCAAAGAGGCUUCCUAUAUUGAGAGAAGACAAGCUUCUUAAUCUAUCCUGAAGAAAUACAUGUUCCCUCCAAAAAAGAGAAUUUGGAUCAGUACCUGGGGCAUACUCACAAACUAACUUAAAUUUUAA